rnacentral:rRNA from 1 species
GGGUAGUUUGACUGGGGCGGUCUCCUCCUAAAGAGUAACGGAGGAGCACGAAGGUUGGCUAAUCCUGGUCGGACAUCAGGAGGUUAGUGCAAUGGCAUAAGCCAGCUUGACUGCGAGCGUGACGGCGCGAGCAGGUGCGAAAGCAGGUCAUAGUGAUCCGGUGGUUCUGAAUGGAAGGGCCAUCGCUCAACGGAUAAAAGGUACUCCGGGGAUAACAGGCUGAUACCGCCCAAGAGUUCAUAUCGACGGCGGUGUUUGGCACCUCGAUGUCGGCUCAUCACAUCCUGGGGCUGAAGUAGGUCCCAAGGGUAUGGCUGUUCGCCAUUUAAAGUGGUACGCGAGCUGGGUUUAGAACGUCGUGAGACAGUUCGGUCCCUAUCUGCCGUGGGCGCUGGAGAACUGAGGGGGGCUGCUCCUAGUACGAGAGGACCGGAGUGGACGCAUCACUGGUGUUCGGGUUGUCAUGCCAAUGGCACUGCCCGGUAGCUAAAUGCGGAAGAGAUAAGUGCUGAAAGCAUCUAAGCACGAAACUUGCCCCGAGAUGAGUUCUCCCUGACUCCUUGAGAGUCCUGAAGGAACGUUGAAGACGACGACGUUGAUAGGCCGGGUGUGUAAGCGCAGCGAUGCGUUGAGCUAACCGGUACUAAUGAACCGU